GGACCUGACUGCUAUCGGAUUGAUACUAAGCCAUGCGAGUCAUUGUAGCAAUACAAGGCAUACGGCUCAGUAACGCGUAGUCAACCUAACCUAUGGACGGGAAUAACCUCGGGAAACUGAGAAUAAUGCCCGAUAGAACAUUAUGCCUGGAAUGGUUUAUGUUCCAAAUGAUUUAUCGCCGUAGGAUGGGACUGCGGCCUAUCAGUUUGUUGGUGAGGUAAUGGCCCACCAAGACUAUUACAGGUACGGGCUCUGAGAGGAGUAGCCCGGAGAUGGGUACUGAGACACGGACCCAGGCCCUAUGGGGCGCAGCAGGCGAGAAAACUUUGCAAUGUGCGAAAGCACGACAA
rnacentral:rRNA from 1 species